rnacentral:ncRNA from 1 species
CAACUGAAGAGUUUGAUUCUGGCUCAGAUUGAACGCUAACGGCGUGCUUAACACAUGCAAGUCGAGCGGCAGCACAGUAGUAGCAAUACUAUGGGUGGC